CAAUACAUCACCGGCGGACGGGUGCGUAACACGUGGGAAUAUACCUUUUGGUUCGGAACAACGCAGGGAAACUUGCGCUAAUACCGAAUGUGCCCUUACGGGGAAAGAUUUAUCGCCAAAGGAUUAGCCCGCGUAGGAUUAGCUAGUUGGUGAGGUAAUGGCUCACCAAGGCUCCGAUCCUUAGCUGUUCUGAGAGGAAGAUCAGCCACACUGGGACUGAGACACGGCCCAG
rnacentral:rRNA from 1 species